GUAGUACUGGGACUCUAACCAUAGGCCAUGAAUCUGGUCUUGGGACACUGUCAGGUGGGCAGUUUGACUGGGGCGGUCGCCUCCCAAAAGGUAACGGAGGCGCUCAAAGGUUCUCUCAGUACGGUCGGAAAUCGUACGUAGAGUGUAAAGGCAAAAGAGAGCUUGAUUGCAAGACAUACAGGUCGAGCAAGGAUGAAAAUCGGACUUAGUGAUCCGGUGGUUCUGCGUGGAAGGGCCAUCGCUCAACGGAUAAAAGCUACCCUGGGGAUAACAGGCUUAUCUCCCCCAAGAGUCCACAUCGACGGGGAGGUUUGGCACCUCGAUGUCGGCUCAUCACAUCCUGGGGCUGUAGUAGGUCCCAAGGGUUGGGCUGUUCGCCCAUUAAAGUGGUACGCGAGCUGGGUUCAGAACGUCGUGAGACAGUUCGGUCCCUAUCCGUCGCAGGCGUAGGAAAUUUGAGAAGACCUGUCCUUAGUACGAGAGGACCGGGAUGGACGUACCUCUGGUGUACCAGUUGUUCUGCCAAGGGCAUGGCUGGGUAGCUAUGUACGGAAUGGAUAAGCGCUGAAAGCAUCUAAGCGCGAAGCCAACU
rnacentral:rRNA from 1 species